ACUCAAAUGAAUUGACGGGGGCCCGCACAAGCGGUGGAGCAUGUGGUUUAAUUCGAAGCAACGCGCAGAACCUUACCCGGUCUUGACAUCCGGAGAAUCCCGCGGAAACGUGGGAGUGCCCCCUCACGGGGGAGCUUCGAGACAGGUGCUGCAUGGCUGUCGUCAGCUCGUGCUGUGAGGUGUUCGGUUAAGUCCGGCAACGAGCGCAACCCCUAUCGUUAGUUACCAUCAUUAAGUUGGGGACUCUAGCGAGACUGCCGGUGACAAACCGGAGGAAGGUGGGGAUGACGUCAAGUCCUCAUGGCCCUUAUGACCGGGGCUACACACGUGCUACAAUGGCAUCUACAAAGGGCUGCGAAGUCGCGAGGCGGAGCAAAUCCCAAAAAAGAUGUCUCAGUUCGGAUUGGAGUCUGCAACUCGACUCCAUGAAGCUGGAAUCGCUAGUAAUCGCGGAUCAGCACGCCGCGGUGAAUACGUUCCCGGGCCUUGCACACACCGCCCGU
rnacentral:rRNA from 1 species